rnacentral:misc_RNA from 1 species
GUCAUUUUCUGGUCUUUUUUUUAAAAAAAAAAUCCCUAGUGCUAAUGAGGUGGCGGCAGAUCUACAGUCGCGCUGUGGUUAAACUUAGUCUGUUAAUUAAUUUGGAAGGAAUUUGUUUGAUGAUACUAUGUUUUGUCAUCCUUCAUCACUCCUAAAUUUAAUAAAUGGAAUAUCUUUUUUGGUUCCUUCCCUUUUUCUUUCAGAGCAUCAGAAUAUCUGAAGUGCAUACACUCCAUGAGUGGGCUGGCUACUAGACUAAUGACUUUAUGAAACAAUAUUACUAUUGGAUCUUAUAUUUAAAAAAUCAUGUUCUAUUAUUGGACAUGUUAUUAAUAGUAAUGAGGUUUCCCUUGAAAGAAAAGAAAAAGUAUCGAGUGUUUGACAAUCUCUUACCCUUUGUUUUGAUGCUUAAUUGAGCAAGGAAAAU